UUUCCGUAGGUGAACCUGCGGAAGGGUCAUUACAGUAGUCACCCAGGUUGCCGCAAGGCCUCCUGGGUAACCUACCACCCUUUGUUUAUUACACUUUGUUGCUUUGGCAAGCCUGCCCUCGGGCUGCUGGCUCCGGCCGGCGAGCGCUUGCCAGAGGACCUAAACUCUGUUUGUCUAUACUGUCUGAGUACUAUAUAAUAGUUAAAACUUUCAACAACGGAUCUCUUGGUUCUG
rnacentral:misc_RNA from 1 species